rnacentral:ncRNA from 2 species
GUAGCCAAAUGCCUCGUC